GGGGAAUAUUGCACAAUGGAGGAAACUCUGAUGCAGCGACGCCGCGUGGAGGAAGAAGGUUUUCGGAUCGUAAACUCCUGUUGUCGGGGACGAUAAUGACGGUACCCGACAAGAAAGUGACGGCUAACUACGUGCCAGCAGCCGCGGUAAAACGUAGGUCACAAGCGUUGUCCGGAAUUACUGGGUGUAAAGGGAGCGCAGGCGGGGAGAUAAGUUGGGAGUGAAAACUAUGGGCUCAACCCAUAAAUUGCUUUCAAAACUAUCUUUCUUGAGUAGUGCAGAGGUAGGCGGAAUUCCCGGUGUAGCGGUGGAAUGCGUAGAUAUCGGGAGGAACACCAGUGGCGAAGGCGGCCUACUGGGCACCAACUGACGCUGAGGCUCGAAAGUAUGGGUAGCAAACA
rnacentral:rRNA from 1 species